AACGAACGCUGGCGGCAGGCCUAACACAUGCAAGUCGAGCGAGGCCUUCGGGCUUAGCGGCGGACGGGUGAGUAACGCGUGGGAACGUGCCCUUUGCUACGGGAUAGCCCCGGGAAACUGGGAGUAAUACCGUAUGUGCCCUUCGGGGGAAAGAUUUAUCGGCAAAGGAUCGGCCCGCGUUGGAUUAGGUAGUUGGUGGGGUAAUGGCCUACCAAGCCGACGAUCCAUAGCUGGUUUGAGAGGAUGAUCAGCCACACUGGGACUGAGACACGGCCCAGACUCCUACGGGAGGCAGCAGUGGGGAAUCUUAGACAAUGGGGGAAACCCUGAUCUAGCCAUGCCGCGUGAUCGAUGAAGGCCUUAGGGUUGUAAAGAUCUUUCAGUGGGGAAGAUAAUGACUGUACCCACAGAAGAAGCCCCGGCUAACUCCGUGCCAGCAGCCGCGGUAAAAC
rnacentral:rRNA from 1 species